GGCAGCCGCGGUAAUUCCAGCUCCAAUAGCGUAUAUUAAAGUUGUUGUGGUUAAAAGCUCGUAGUAGAACCUUGGGCCUGGCUGGCCGGUCCGCCUCACCGCGUGCACUGGUCCGGCCGGGCCUUUCCCUCUGUGGAACCGCAUGCCCUUCACUGGGUGUGCCGGGGAAACAGGACUUUUACUUUGAAAAAUUAGAGUGCUCCAGGCAGGCCUAUGCUCGAAUACAUUAGCAUGGAAUAAUAGAAUAGGACGUGUGGUUCUAUUUUGUUGGUUUCUAGGACCGCCGUAAUGAUUAAUAGGGACAGUCGGGGACAUCAGUAUUCAAUUGUCAGAGGUGAAAUUCUUGGAUUUAUUGAAGACUAACUACUGCGAAAGCAUUUGCCAAGGAUGUUUUCAUUUAUCAGGAACGAAAGUUAGGGAUCGAAGACGAUCAGAUACCGUCGUAGUCUUAACCAUAAACUAUGCCGACUAGGGAUCGGACGAUGUUAUUUUUGACUUCGUUCGGCACCGUUACGGGAAA
rnacentral:misc_RNA from 1 species